rnacentral:rRNA from 1 species
AUUGAACGCUGGCGGCAGGCCUAACACAUGCAAGUCGAGCGAGCGGCGGACGGGUGAGUAAUGUCUGGGAAACUGCCUGAUGGAGGGGGAUAACUACUGGAAAAGGUAGCUAAUACCGCAAACCAUCAGAUGUGCCCAGGUGGGAUUAGCAAGAAGGUGGGGUACCGGCUCACAUAGGCGACGAUCCCUAGCUGGUCUGAGAGGAUGACCAGCCAAACUGGAACUGAGACACGGUCCAGACGCCUACGGUGGGCAGCAGUGGGGAGUAUUGCACAAUGGGCGCAAGCCUGAUGCAGCCAUGCCGCGUGUGUGAAGACGGCCUUCGGGUUGUAAAGCACUUUCAGCGGGGAGGCGUUACCCGCAGAAGAAGCACCGGCUAACUCCGUGCCAGCAGCCGCGGUAAUUC